GCCUUGCGAGAUGUUGACGUGAUCGCGUAUCUUCUCGCUGGUAUUGGCCCUGACUAUGAUCCUUUCGUCACCUCGAUGACUUCUAAGAGUGAAGUCGUCACGUUUGAUGAUGUGUUUGCACAUCUAAAAGCGCUUGAAGC